rnacentral:rRNA from 1 species
GGCCUACCAUGGUUUUAACGGGUAACGGGGAAUUAGGGUUCGAUUCCGGAGAGGGAGCCUGAGAAACGGCUACCACAUCCAAGGAAGGCAGCAGGCGCGCAAAUUACCCAAUCCCGAUACGGGGAGGUAGUGACAAUAAAUAACAAUACAGGGCUUUUCAGUCUUGUAAUUGGAAUGAGUACAAUUUAAAUCCCUUAACGAGGAACAAUUGGAGGGCAAGUCUGGUGCCAGCAGCCGCGGUAAUUCCAGCUCCAAUAGCGUAUAUUAAAGUUGUUGCAGUUAAAAAGCUCGUAGUUGAAUUUCGGGAUUGACACAUCGGUCGUGCCUUAAGGGGUAUGAACUGGUGUAGUCAAUUUCUCACCUUCUGGAGAACCACGAUGCCCUUAAUUGGGUGUCGCGGGGAACCAGGACCUUUACUUUGAAAAAAUUAGAGUGUUUAAAGCAGGCAUUUUGCUUGAAUACAUUAGCAUGGAAUAAUAAAAUAGGACGGCAUGAUUCUAUUUUGUUGGUUUCUAGGAUCACCGUAAUGAUUAAUAGGGAUAGUUGGGGGCAUUAGUAUUCAAUUGUCAGAGGUGAAAUUCUUGGAUUUAUUGAAGACGAACUACUGCGAAAGCAUUUGCCAAGGAUGUUUUCAUUAAUCAAGAACGAAAGUUAGGGGAUCGAAGACGAUUUAUGUACGUCGUAGUCUUAACCAUAAACUAUGCCGACUAGGAAUCAGACAAAGUUCAUUUUUUAAUGACUUGUUUGGUACCUUACG